rnacentral:rRNA from 1 species
CGAACGCUGGCGGCGUGCUUAACACAUGCAAGUCGAACGGAAAGGCCUGCUUUCCCUUGUGGAUUGCGGGUGCUCGAGUGGCGAACGGGUGAGUAACACGUGAGUGAUCUGCCCCCAACUUGGGUAUAAGCCUGGGAAACUGGGUCUAAUUCCCGAUAGGACUGCAGGGUGGUGCCUGCGGUGGAAAACGAUUUUCUAGUGGUUGGGGAUGAGCUCGCGGCCUAUCAGCUUGUUGGUGGGGUAAUGGCCUACCAAGGCGGCGACGGGUAGCCGGCCUGAGAGGGUGGACGGCCACAUUGGGACUGAGAUACGGCCCAGACUCCUACGGGAGGCAGCAGUGGGGAAUAUUGCACAAUGGGCGGAAGCCUGAUGCAGCGACGCCGCGUGGGGGAUGACGGCCUUCGGGUUGUAAACUCCUUUCGACCGCGAGGAAGCCACCUGGUUGGAAGGGUGGUGACGGUAGUGGUAGAAGAAGCACCGGCUAACUACGUG